UCCUUUCUUCUCCCUUCCUGCCCGCCCGCCCGCCUUCCUCCCUCGCGCCCGCCCGCCGCCUGCCCUCUCCAAGUCCCUCCCGGUCCCGAGCGCCGCCGGCCCCGCUCCGUCGCCCGCGCCCGGCCCCGGCUCGCGCGCACACUUCCUGAGUCGCGGGCCGCCGCCGCCUCGCCGCGCCCCGCCGCCCGGGGAAGGAGCCGUGGGCGAGCGCGCCCUCGCCCAGCCCCGCGCCCAGCCCUGCCCGGGAGGAAGGACCGGGAAGAUGAACAACAGCGGCAAAGCCGAGAAGGAGAACACCCCCGGCGAGGCCAACCUGCAGGAGGAAGAGGUCCGGACCCUAUUUGUCAGUGGUCUUCCUCUGGAUAUUAAACCUCGGGAGCUCUAUCUGCUUUUCAGACCAUUUAAGGGCUAUGAGGGUUCUCUUAUAAAGCUCACAUCUAAGCAGCCUGUAGGUUUUGUCAGUUUUGACAGUCGCUCAGAAGCAGAAGCUGCGAAGAAUGCUUUGAAUGGCAUCCGCUUCGAUCCUGAAAUUCCGCAAACACUACGACUAGAGUUUGCUAAGGCAAACACGAAGAUGGCCAAGAACAAACUAGUAGGGACUCCAAAUCCCAGUACUCCUCUGCCCAACACUGUACCUCAGUUCAUUGCCAGAGAGCCAUAUGAGCUCACAGUGCCUGCACUUUACCCCAGUAGCCCUGAAGUGUGGGCCCCGUACCCUCUGUACCCAGCGGAGUUAGCGCCUGCUCUACCUCCUCCUGCUUUCACCUAUCCCGCUUCACUGCAUGCUCAGUGUUUCUCUCCUGAGGCAAAGCCCAACACACCUGUCUUUUGUCCACUUCUCCAGCAAAUUAGAUUUGUCUCUGGGAAUGUGUUUGUCACAUAUCAGCCUACUGCAGACCAGCAGAGGGAGCUCCCAUGUUGAAUUUGUUUGUUAGCUAUUUUCCCUCCUUUUGCAAAAACUAUUUCUUGGCGAUAUUUGAGAGAUUCAAUAAAAAUUUUACUCAGAGCAAAAAAAAAAAUCUCAAGUAGACUUCAGCGUUGUGUUUUCAUGGUGAUUCAAUUCUGGAGCAGAGGUGUUCAUCUGUAACUGAGAUUUUGGGGAGAAUUGGGCCUUUAACAACUGUGUUACACAGGAGGAGAAGGACUCAGAAAAAGCACCUUGGGGAGACUGGGCCCUGGUCUGAGGCCUCAUCACUGCUGCUUGCGUCUUCUUGGCCUCCCGAAAGCUACCACAAGCUGCGUCCUGAAAGAUUCUCACUCCAACCUCCACACUUACCAGCAGCAGGAGCUCUCGCUUCAGCCAGGACGACAUGGCUAGCUAGUGGAAACCUGUGCAGCAAGUGGACGUGUUUGCCAGGUUCCCUGCUGGGAUUCAGAGGAAGGAGGACCCAAGAGAUGCAGUGUGUCUUGAAAAAGAAGUUAGGGCACAUUUCUAGUUGUGUUCCACUUUUAGUCAUGAUCUGGUGUUCCCUAGAUUUCCCAGCUAUAAUCGGAAGAUGCUAUUUGCAGUCAAAUCCCACGUUUUAAGAACUUACUGGCUAACAGGACUGCAUACUGUAUACUGCCUUACUACUUUUAAAGGUGAGAGAGCAACCCCGUGCAACAUCUGAUUUGUAAAAUUGUAAACAUUUUUAGAAGGAAACAUUUAGCUUGCUUUCAAGGUUAUUGGCAUUUGAAAUUUAUUAAAUGUCUUGUGUAAGCCACUGUGAGUAGAAGUUUCACCCACCCCACAAUCUCCAGCUCUUCCUGUGGCCUAAUACGCAUCUCAGCUUUAAAGUUAGCUUCAGCUUUUGCUUGUAGUCUUGGUGCUUUAGAGAAAUAGUGAAGCACCCUGUCCUCACCACAUAGCACAAGUACAGCACCAUGUGUCUUCCAGAGUCAGUCACAGUUGGACCAGGAACAUUUGCAGGGAUGCAAGACUGAGAUCCAUUGUUGGCUGAUGUUGUGGCGGUGGUGGCAGCCUCCUCCCACAUCACCACGGUCCUUUCUGAACAUGUACAGGCUGCUGCGCAGCUCGUGAUCAGAGCACAUCACUCAUGCUGCAGAAGCAGAACAUUUCAACUUCUUGGGAGCAUGCCCCUUGGGAGGUGCCUUGUGACACAGUGGAAAACUUUUAAAGGUUAAACCCAAAAUAAAUGCAGAAGUGAACCAUGGGAAAAAAGACACAGGCAAGUAGGAUGGGGACAUCACAAAGGGAUAGAUGCCUGGGCCUAGGUUAGAGUGCAGCUGCCUGUGCUCUGGUGCUGCCCACUUUGCCUAAGCCUUUACUCUGCAGCAGGGGGCCACCUCACAGAACUAGAUGUUAGAACAUUUUAAAAGUUUUCAGGAAGCGUCUCUGUCUCUCACUUGCCUUGUGGAAAAUACCAAGAAAAACAAGACGCAGUCCUGCUGGGGACGUGUUGACUGCAGAGCAUAUUUGGGUAUUCACAGAGCCCCUUGGAAAUGAUCCUUAACCUUGAGGCAGCUGUCAUCCUCCUCAGGCUGCUGGUGCGCCUCCUAUGGCAAAGAGUCUGUAUUUCUCAGCCUCCUGUUUUUCAGACCACAGCCAUUGCUGUUGUGGUGGCUGGUCCCAUUAGGGACCUGUGAACAAAACAGUGUCUGAUAUGCAGGAAGGGCUUUAGCACCCCAAGUGCAACCUUGUCACCAAAGUGAGGGAAGGACUAGGGGAACUGGGCUUUGGCUACUGUGACUUUCAGAGGACAUCAGCUCAUAAGCCUGGCCCUCCAGCAUCCACUCUUCAGAACUGCUGCUUGGGCCUGCUCAAAAGACCCAGGCUUAGGAGGACCACACAAGUUCUCUGUGGUGCUCAGCCUAUAGCUUGAAGUUUUUUCAGACAUACAGGAAACUAUUUGUGUCCCUGUAACCUUGCAGCUGUGUGAGGCCGGACUGUGGGGAGAAACCAUCCUGAGAGCUGUCUCUUGAAAAUGUCAUCUGUCUUGGGCUUUCUCAGCAUCUAGCUUUUUGCUCAUGGGAGAUGAGCGUGUGGUUCAGCUGUGCAGCAUUGGCCUCUGCAGAGGAGCUGUGCCACCCCUUGGUUACUACGAGUCUCCUUUUCCUUCUGCAUGCAGACCUGUGCUGCACUUAACCCACUCAGGGAUGCUCCCGUGUGCUGCUCUCCCUCUGCCACCGUCAAAGUCAGGACAGGCUGCAAGCAUAGACCGGUGCAUGUUCACCUACCAAAAUCCUCCCUGUGAUGGGAGAUACAUCCAGAGUGGGAAAUGGCUCGAGGCCCUGAAGGGAGAAUGGUGUUUUUUGUUGCUUUAUAGGAAGCCACUGUCCCUGAACUUUCCAGCUGUGCCUUUUUUCUUUCCUGUCAAGGAACUGGUAAAGAAAAACCCAAGGGUGGCCCAGCCAUUUUCCCAGGCUCUGCUGCUUUCUUCACCCUGGACAGUGAAUGUUUCCCCAGCCUCAUCUCCUGAUGGUAGAGUUAAGGCUGCGGCUCAGAGAUAACUGGCUCCUGGCUAAGUAAAUAUUUCCCCUGUCCCUCCCUCCCCUGUAUCUGCUCUGGUAGAAGCACAAAUGCUACCCACUUAAGUGGCCCCGAAUUGCUAAUUCCAGCCUCAGCCAGGGGUGGGCUUUGUUCCUUUGGCCAGAGCAGCUGUACUGAAGCCAGCUGCCUACUGGCAGCUUUAGGGUCAUUCCACAGCUAGACCCAUGUACAUGGCCCUGUGGCCUGGGCCAAAGUUCCUUAGCACCAGAUUCUCUCCCCCUCACCCCCUGUCAGGAGUUGGGGAGCAGCCCAGGGUGCACCUCAAUCCUGUGAGCUGGUGCACUGUGUCGUCAUAAGUGCGUCCCACGAGGGCCUCUGUGAAGGUAGACUCCUUGAGUUCUGUGCAGACUGUCCCCAGCCUUCUUGGGCUCAGGAGUCCAGGUCCAAGCCUCAGUGAGUCAGUCCCUCUUAUAAGUCAUGUUGGGGAGCUCAGCUGCUUCCUCGGAGUUACUAACAAAUGCUGGGCCCACUGUCACAGUUGGCUCUGUGUUUUAACUAAACAAACCACAAGGACAGUUCGUAGACCAUAGUAACAAAAACUUGUUAAAAAAUCUUAAAUUUAGCUGUCUCUAGUAAGUUCUAUUACUAUUUUUUUUUUUUAAAUCUGCACUGAACCUGUUUCCUUAUCUAUGAAUGACAAGAAAGAAUACCUGCCUCUUGGGGUUAUUUUGAGAUAAAUGUUUGGCCUAGAGCAGGAGUUAUUAAAAUAGUCCUUCCAGAACCUGCCCUUUGUCAGCACUUGACCCAGUCUGAUGCAGCUCGAGUCCCGGAGCCUGCCCUGUGAUUACGAGAUGCACAUAGACACAGUGUCCAUGCCAGGGCCCAACAUGGAACCUAGGGUUCCAGACUCAUUCUUGGGCCCAGAGGAGAAGCAGCCAGAGCAGGACUCGAAUGCUCAGUGGCUUGUGGUAUGAUCAGAGGAGGCUCUACUGGGGUCAACCAGCUGUCCACCAGGCAUUCUGCCCUCUUGCAAAGCACAGGCACCCAGGUACACCCAGAAGUGUGUGAGGCCUAAGUGCUUUGGAAGGAAACCCAAGGCUACCAAGAAACUUUGGAAUUAUACAACAUAACCUUCAUAAAAGGAGAAAGUAAACUUUUCCUUGAAGAAAACCAGUUGUGACAGGGGAGAAAAGGAAAAUCAACUCCAAAUGGGAUCAUGUUUUAUUCAGGAUUCGUUCUGCCAGUGGGGAAGGCCAGAACCCCAUGAAAGGAUGGAAAGUGGGACGCCCCAACUUCAAGCCUCAUGUGUUCUGCCACAAAGCUCUACUUGCUUCAUUGAGCACGGCUCCUGGGGACCUCUAAUGGCCCUUGAUAGCAAACAUAGUUAAAAAUUAACAGGCCUACAGAAUUAAAUAUGGAUGACAAGCAACCACUGUGGACUUAAUCUGACACAGGGUGUUACACGCUUGGGUGCCCGCAACCAGAGUAGCGUCUUGAAUGAACUUGGAGAUGUCUGACCACAUUUCACAUGCCUGUUUGGAAGCAAGAGCCUCACUGGUGCUUAGGAUAGACAGGAAAAAAGUCUUAAAAGCCCAGGAGAGAAGAACUAUUCCUGAGGACUUGUGUUUAAUUAAAGCCAGCUUUGAUUGGUGUUUGCUAGAGGUGUUCACUGUCCUGGGGCCUUGCUGUUCAUCCAGGCCUCGUCCUUGCUGGAGCUCAGACCUCAGUGAAGUGCUUUGCCUCACAGUGGAGCCUGGCCUUCUGCCAGGGUGCCAAAAUGGGAGGCUUAGUACCUUUUGCUGAGCGGGCAGCCCUGGACAAGUAGCAGACGCCAGACAAGUAGUAAGGCUGCUCACUGUAUCAUGCUCCCUGUGGAUGCUGAAAGAGUAUGGUAGCCAGCCCGAGGCGCCAGAGGGCAGUGGGGUACCCUUUAAAAAGGAACCGUCAGUGAGCUCCGUUUCAUGUAGCAUAGAGGUUUGAAAAGUUCUCCCAGCAUGUGGAGUGCAUUAUUAGAAAUGAGAGUUGCAGCUUAAAACAGCAUAUUUUGUGCUGUAAAGAGAAGAAUCUUCAUAUUGCAAGUCGUCACUCCAGUGUGUUGGCGAGUGUAGAGUUUUUUUAAAGAGCAAACUGCACUUCUGGCCUGCAUCCUGUUCUCAGCCUGGCAGCCUAACAACCAACCUGCCAAAGGUCCUCCUGGAGAUUCCUUAAUGAUCCUGCCCAGUAGGUUGUAAGGCAAAAUUGGUUUUGAUUUCAGCUGCAUGUGAGCAGCUUGUAGCUAGGGACUCAAUGCUGGGAAGCCUCCACAGAACAAUUGAGGGCUCCAUUUGGGGGGCAGUAAUACAAACCUACCCAUGAUUAUCCAGGACUUAAAAGCCAAUUAUCCAGGACUUAAAAGCCAAUUAAUCAUGUAAAAUACUUGCUGUCCUAAUUACUCUUCUCUAGUUUCAUUGACAAAAUACCUGACACCCAAAAUUAAGAAAGGAAAGGUUUAUUUAACUCUCAGCUUGUGGAGGUUUCAGUACAUAAUCAGCUGGCUCCAGAAUGGCAUAGGGAGGGGCAUUUCAAGGUGGCAGAAGACUGCAAAAGCAACAAGACCACAAAGGGGCAGAGCGAUCUGUUCUUUCUUAUGUUGUAAGCAGACCACCUGGGGAGCAUGGACACCAUCUCUGUGCCUCUCUCGUACACAGGCUCAGGAUGCUUACAAUGUGAGGACCCUGGCUCCCUCCUGAGUCACUUUCUCAAGUUGACACAGUGAACAAUAUCCCAGAGCUCACAGGGUAUGUCCUCCAGGAUGCAGAGCUGCUGAUUUACUUGGUUAAGCUUCCUGACUUCUCAAGUUGACAUAAUGUAUCAACCAUUACACUUGAUCAAGGUACUGUUUCAACUUUGUUCUGAAUAUGGUGCUGAAGGAGCUCUGUACCUGUAUUAGGAAAAGUAUGAGGACUUCCGGCUGCCCUACAGUGAGUGGGAUGUCCAGUAGACUGGCCGGUUUGGUGAUCUGGUACAAAUGAGUUUCAUUAGGAGCUAGAAACAUGGAUACUACCUAGAUCCACCGAAAACUGACACCAGCAUAGGCCUUCCAGACCAACAGUGUUCCAGGCCCCUGCCAUGGAAUAAUAGCCAUCCCAGAAUCAAAUGGCUCUGUGGUCAGGUAUACUAGGGAAAUGUAGGGACAGAUGAAAUCAUACAGGUUUCUUUUUUCUUGUUGUUUUUUUUUUGGGGGGGUGGUAUUUGUUUCAUUGUGGUUUUUUUGUUUUGGGGAACUUCACAAGGACGUUUCAUGUGCUGCUUUAUAUGAGUUGUAGACUGUAACUUACUGGGCUGUAGAGCUUACUUAGACUGGCCUUCCAGCCAUAUUUCUAGAAACCUACUGAAGAGCAGUGUGCUGCCUUGCAGUCGCCUCAAGGGCUUUGUAAAAUGGAAGCUAUAGCCAGGUGUGGUUGUACUCCUUUGGAAUCCCUGAACUUUUGAGAAGCUGAGACAGGAAAACCACAAGUUUGAGGCUAGCUUGAGAAAUUUUGCAAUAUCCUUUUUCAAAAUACCUUUGUAAAGGACUGGGUAUGUAGGUCAUUGCAAAGGCCCUGUGUUCGGUCCUCAGAACCACAUGAAAUAAGCAAGUUAUAGGGCCCCACCACUGGUGUCUCUGCCCAUAAUACAUUCCAGUGAUGGUAAUGGUCCAGGGAACGCUCUUUGAAAACCACUGGUGUGGACUUACUCUUCAUUUCAGCUGAGAAGAAACUGGCCAAAUAAGGGAUGGUUACUAACAGCAGUGACCAUUAAUUGCCCAGCACCUGGUACACAGUUCUCUUGUCCCAUUCGGCAAGCCAGUAUUAUCCUGGCCAGGUCCAGAACGUUCACCUGCUCUUGUCUUUUACCCUGUGCUACGCACACUCUGCUGUGGGAGACACCUGCCAAGGGCAGAGAUGUCUGCAAGGCCACUGAGUUUUCCUGUGUUAGGCUUCCUUGUCGGGACUGUGAGUUCUGUCUUUGAAUACUGUUGCCCUUAGCGUCCUCAUCUAUAAAUGAAGGAGGAUGCAAGUGAUUUUUGUGACUACUUCCUCUGGUGCUCCAUUGUAUUUUAUCUUGGUCACUUGUUGCUGAGACUUUCUUCUCUGAGUGUCUUCCACACCUGUGCAACCUGCUGCCCUGCUGAGGAGCUCACAGGGUUGUUGUUGCAGUGGCGCUGCCUUGUAGAAGAGCUUUCCCGAGCAAGUAGGGCGCUUGGUGGAGAAGUGUCACUGUGAGGCUGGUGCAGCAGGGACAUCCUAAGCCCGGGAUUGUGUGUGGGUUUGUGAGUGUGCACUGUUGCAAGGCCUGCCCAGGCUGGAGGGGUAAGUGUGAGCCCUGCUGAACUGUCCCUGGAGCAGGGCAGGCUGCAGUUUUCUGGAUGGAGCAAGUGAAGCAGCUCCAAACCACAGCAGUCAAGCAGCCUGAGUGGGAGUAAGGGUGACUCCUCCCCUCAUGCCACCCCCCCCCCACCUGUCAGCGCAAAACAGCCAGUGCCCACUGGGGCCCUGCCCCUGAGCCAUGCACCAGCCUCCCGUGCAGACUGAAGCAGAUGGGGUCUCAGCCUGGCAGCUUUUGCCCUCUGCUGGAAGACAGGCACACGGGACCUCCUGCUGGAAUGUCCUCCCUUCUAGUGUCUGCAGGGCUUCAGGAAGAGCUUGUGCUCUGGCUGGUGCCCUGGGGUCUGAUUCUGGGGGUGUAAGAAUAAUGAGUGUUGGGGUCUGUCUCUGUCCUACCGCCACUCUGCCCACCACUGUGAGUCACUGGCCUGCUUCCUCACUGGCAUCCUCCACCUGAGCUCAGCUGAGCACAAUGUAACCUGGACCCCACCACCUGGAUGGGCCACCUUGUCACCCAGAAUACCCCUAGGACGGGCAUGUGUGCAGCUGAGAGAAUGCCAGGGCUGGGUGAAGGUGGGGAGGCCCCCGCCAGAGAGAUGGUGUGGGGGAGGUGAGGGCCCCCAUCUCGCAGCCACCUUCACUGUCCCGACCCCUGCCACUUCCCCGCGGCUCUCCCCAUGGGCCCCUGCCCAGGCCACAGCCCCCUCACCGCACUUCACACUGACCCAGCCCAUGCACACGGCUCCAGUCCCUCUACCAUGUGGGUCUCCAGCCCCUCACCCCUCCUGGGGCCCUGUACCCCAGACGUUCCUCUCCCACCUGUCUCAGGAAGGCAGCUCCAACUCUGCUCUUUGCUUAGUGAGCAAGUGGAUUCAGAUGCACAAAACCAUAAGCCAUGGAUGCGUUGGCUCCCUCCCUCCGAGGCUACUUCUCAGGGCUGGAAGUCCCGUCAGUUCUGCUGAAUGCUGUGAUUGGAAAAAACCUUGCCCAGCUCUGAUCCCUUCAAGACUUUGCCACAGCCUCUAUCACACAUCUGUUUUUCUCAAAGAAAAAAAUAUAAUAAAAAUGUUUUACUCUUUUACACUGUAUAAUUGUUAAGAAAUAGUGUGUUAUUUGUGAAUGCAUGAUCUGACAUUCAUUUCUAUACAUUUAGAGGUAUUUUUAAGCAAACAUAGAAAUCAACGAUAAAACCAAGAAAGUGAGUAUUUUUAUACCAAACAUUUUAAGUAUGACAGGAUGAUUCUUAACACUGGGUUGGACCACAUUUGUGCUUGACUUUUGAAUGCUUGUAAUUAAAAAUACCUAUUUUUUUUCUGUCUAAAAUCAGCUGCAUGUUUGAGGCAUGUUUCUUACGUAGCAUCAGCUUUUAGAAUGGUAUUGUCAAUGUACUGAAUCUGCUUGCCUGGUCAGAGUCGAGCACUCAUGAUGUGGUAGUUUAGAAUGUUCUAUAGUCCUAGGUGUGCAAUCCCUGUUCCCACAGGAAACCCCUGCGAGACAAUCCGGGCCUCCAGGACCUUCUGCCUAAUGGCAUACUCACAAAUGGGCAAAAAUCUCUUUGAUCGCAGUUCCUGACCAAAAAGUGACAUUCGAAAGCCCUGGUACCUCCAGCUGGGACUAUGUAAACCAUGUGCCAAGCAUUGGGUUCUGCAGUCUUACAUUAUCUGACAGCGUGCACCGGUGUCAUGUCUGAUGCCUCACCCCCACAAGGGGAACCACAGGGUCAGCCCAAGGGUGAAAGCACCUUGGCUUAGAGUUGGCCUUUCUGUAAAAGGACUCGGCUUCACCCAGCCCACUUGGCUGCACCGUGCAGUGCACAUACCAAAAGUGAUUUUGCAAACCUGAGCUUAAUAUUCCAAAGUUUUGAUAAUACCCGUGCCAACGGAUGUCACAUGUUCUUGAAUCUGCAUGCUCACUGUGAGACUGCCUUGGGCACAGGUACAGGAGGAGCCGAUGAUAGAACCAGAGGCCAUGUGCAAUGAAUAUUGUUCUUGCUUCAAGACUUCUUCAAAGCCAAAGUCAGUCUUGUUGAGUUGACACAUUUCCGGAGUCUGAUAGCCCCACCUCUCUCCCUCCCCGUAUGUCAGAGCCAUGUGUAAAACUGACCUAAGAAUUUUUAAUGGCUUGAUAUAGCUAGAUGUGAUCACAGUCUUUCUUACUGAUAUGUUCACAUGUUGAAAAACGUUUUAAUGGUUAUGUGGUGGGGCUGGGGUUUUAUUGUUUUUCAUUAGAAAUAAUAAGUUUUUAAAGGUGUUUUUUAAAAAGGCCAGGAGUGAGGAACUCUUCCCAUAAACACAAGGAAAGUGGGGCAGCAUGAGCUUAGGAACUUCUUGUUUAAGAAGCUACUUAUGUUCUCAGUACUGGCUGGCUCUCGGAGACUCCUGUACUUGCUUCCAAGGAAACAGAGCCACUUCGUGGUCUAUUAUGCUUUUAUAAACUGUUAAAGGUACUUUUCUAUUGUCAUUUUUAAAAAAAUAAAGUGUUUAUUCCAGCUAUCAUA